GAUGAAGAACGCAGCGAAAUGCGAUAAGUAGUGUGAAUUGCAGAAUUCAGUGAAUCAUCGAAUCUUUGAACGCACAUUGCGCCCCUUGGUAUCCCGAGGGGCAUGCCUGUUCGAGCGUCAUUUCACCACUCAAGCCUGGUUUGGUGUUGGGCGACGUCCCCUUUGGGGACGCGCCUCGAAACGCUCGGCGGCGUGGCACCGGCUUUAAGCGUAGCAGAAUCUUUCGCUUUGGAAGUCGGGGCCCCGUCUGCCGGAAGACCUACUCGCAAGGUUGACCUCGGAUCAGGCAGGGAUACCCGCUGAACUUAAGCAUAUCAAUAAGCGGAGGA
rnacentral:misc_RNA from 1 species